GAUGAACGCUGGCGGCGUGCCUAAUACAUGCAAGUCGAGCGAAUGGAUUAAGAGCUUGCUCUUAUGAAGUUAGCGGCGGACGGGUGAGUAACACGUGGGUAACCUGCCCAUAAGACUGGGAUAACUCCGGGAAACCGGGGCUAAUACCGGAUAACAUUUUGAACCGCAUGGCUCGAAAUUGAAAGGCGGCUUCGGCUGUCACUUAUGGAUGGACCCGCGUCGCAUUAGCUAGUUGGUGAGGUAACGGCUCACCAAGGCAACGAGGCGUAGCCGACCUGAGAGGGUGAUCGGCCACACUGGGACUGAGACACGGCCCAGACUCCUACGGGAGGCAGCGGUAGGGAAUCUUCCGCAAUGGACGAAAGUCUGACGGAGCAACGCCGCGUGAGUGAUGAAGGCUUUCGGGUCGUAAAACUCUGUUGUUAGGGAAGAACAAGUGCUAGUUGAAUAAGCUGACACCUUGACGGUACCUAACCAGAAAGCCACGGCUAACUACGUGCCAGCCGCCGCGGUAA
rnacentral:rRNA from 1 species